rnacentral:rRNA from 1 species
UGGCGGACGGCUGAGGAACACGUGGGUAUCUGCCCUCCAGUGGGGGACAACACGCCGAAAGGCGUGCUAAUCCCGCAUACGUUCCCUUGUAACGAGGGAAGAAAGCGGCAACGCGCUGGACGAGGAGCCUGCGGCCCAUCAGAUAGUUGGCGGGGUAAUGGCCCACCAAGUCGGUGACGGGUCCCUGGUCUGAGAGGACGACCAGGCAGACUGGGACUGAGAACGGCCCAG